AAAAAAAAAUCUUAGUUUGAUCUUCUUUUCUACAUAGAAAACUUACAACAGAAAAUUACCUGUGAUGCCACUUUUCAUGAAAAACCAAUAGAAGUGAACGACUGAUUGUUGUGGACCAAGAAGUAUAGGGAACAUACAAGCAGCUCUUCAGCAUUAAGAAUGUGAUGGGAGAGAUUCAGGUAGAUUUGAACUGCCAUCAUCAAUCAAGACCAAGGAGAAGGCUGCUUUCCAGGAUGUACACAUGGCCUCUGUUUGCUGUUGCUGUUUUGCUUCUUUUAAGAGGUGAACCAAUAUAUGUAUGUCUGUUUCUACUGUCACUUGCAGCUCAACAGAACCCUGUAAUAUACAUGAACAAGUUUCUGGAAGUUAAGAGCAGGAAAUUCCACUGAAACAAAAUAGAACAUACCUUUAUGUUCUAUUGAGAGAGUGUGGAAGAAGAAAAUUCUGUAUUGGUUUUGACUAACAACAAGCUGCCGGAAGAUCUCUUUUUCUCCUACAGGUUAAUAAGGAGAAAAUUGAAAUUAGAAGCAUAAAGCAUUUUGUCAAGAUAUAACUAUGAAGAUAUUUUCAUUACUAAAUAUACAAAUAGGCCAGUUGCAGUGGCUCACACCUGUAAU
rnacentral:lncRNA from 1 species